rnacentral:rRNA from 1 species
UACGUAGGGUGCGAGCGUUGUCCGGAAUUAUUGGGCGUAAAGAGCUCGUAGGCGGUGUGUCGCGUCGGCCGUGAAAACCUGCAGCUUAACUGUGGGCUUGCGGUCGAUACGGGCAUCACUGGAGUUCGGCAGGGGAGACUGGAAUUCCUGGUGUAGCGGUGAAAUGCGCAGAUAUCUGGAGGAACACCGGUGGCGAAGGCGGAUCUCUGGGCCAUUACUGACGCUGAGGAGCGAAAGCGUGGGGAGCGAACAGG